GUGCUGACGAGUGGCGAACGGGUGAGUAAUGCAUCGGAACGUGCCCAGUCGUGGGGGAUAACGCAGCGAAAGCUGCGCUAAUACCGCAUACGAUCUAUGGAUGAAAGCGGGGGACCGUAAGGCCUCGCGCGAUUGGAGCGGCCGAUGUCAGAUUAGGUAGUUGGUGGGGUAAAGGCUCACCAAGCCAACGAUCUGUAGCUGGUCUGAGAGGACGACCAGCCACACUGGAACUGAGACACGGUCCAGACUCC
rnacentral:rRNA from 1 species